rnacentral:rRNA from 1 species
AUUGAACGCUGGCGGCAGGCCUAACACAUGCAAGUCGAGCGGAUGAAGGGAGCUUGCUCCUGGAUUCAGCGGCGGACGGGUGAGUAAUGCCUAUGAAUCUGCCUGGUCGUGGGGGAUAACGUCCGGAAACGGGCGCUAAUACCGCAUACGUCCUGAGGUCGCAAGUGGGGGAUCUUCGGACCUCACGCUAUCAGAUGAGCCUAGGUCGGAUUAGCUAGUUGGUGGGGUAACGGCCUACCAAGGCGACGAUCCGUAACUGGUCUGAGAGGAUGAUCAGUCACACUGGAACUGAGACACGGUACAGACUCCUACGGGAGGCAGCAGUGGGGAAUAUUGGACAAUGGGCGAAAGCCUGAUCCAGCCAAGCCGCGUGUGUGAAGAAGGACUUCGGAUUGUAAAGCACUUUAAGUUGGGAGGAAGGGCAGUAAGUUAAUACCUUGCUGUUUUGACGUUACCAACAGAAUAAGCACCGGCUAACUUCGUG